rnacentral:tRNA from 4 species
GCGCCAGUAGCUCAGGUGGAUAGAGCAUCAGCCUUCUAAGCUGAGGGUCACAGGUUCGAGUCCUGUCUGGCGUA